rnacentral:rRNA from 5 species
GCGAGAGGGAAACGCCCGGUCACAUUCCGAACCCGGAAGCUAAGCCUCUCAGCGCCGAUGGUACUGCAAGGGGGACCUUGUGGGAGAGUAGGACACCGCCGGAC